rnacentral:rRNA from 1 species
ACGGGUGAGUAACACGUGGGUAACCUGCCCAUCAGAAGGGGAUAACACUUGGAAACAGGUGCUAAUACCGUAUAACACUAUUUUCCGCAUGGAAGAAAGUUGAAAGGCGCUUUUGCGUCACUGAUGGAUGGACCCGCGGUGCAUUAGCUAGUUGGUGAGGUAACGGCUCACCAAGGCCACGAUGCAUAGCCGACCUGAGAGGGUGAUCGGCCACACUGGGACUGAGACACGGCCCAGACUCCUACGGGAGGCAGCAGUAGGGAAUCUUCGGCAAUGGACGAAAGUCUGACCGAGCAACGCCGCGUGAGUGAAGAAGGUUUUCGGAUCGUAAAACUCUGUUGUUAGAGAAGAACAAGGAUGAGAGUAAAACGUUCAUCCCUUGACGGUAUCUAACCAGAAAGCCACGGCUAACUACGUGCCAGCAGCCGCGGUAAUACGUAGGUGGCAAGCGUUGUCCGGAUUUAUUGGGCGUAAAGCGAGCGCAGGCGGUUUCUUAAGUCUGAUGUGAAAGCCCCCGGCUCAACCGGGGAGGGUCAUUGGAAACUGGGAGACUUGAGUGCAGAAGAGGAGAGUGGAAUUCCAUGUGUAGCGGUGAAAUGCGUAGAUAUAUGGAGGAACACCAGUGGCGAAGGCGGCUCUCUGGUCUGUAACUGACGCUGAGGCUCGAAAGCGUGGGGAGCGAACAGGAUUAGAUACCCUGGUAGUCCACGCCGUAAACGAUGAGUGCUAAGUGUUGGAGGGUUUCCGCCCUUCAGUGCUGCAGCAAACG